CCAUUAUCUUACCUCAUAACACAAGCAGCCAAUACCAGAGCCUUACUGAUGUCUGAGAGCUUACACAAUCCCACCUCACAUUGAGAUGCUGUGUCCCAAAAGCAGUAUGAUGACUUUAGCACUGUAGGACAUGCUUCUAUACUAAAAGUGUUAAAUCUGCCUCUCAUCAUGCAAAAUGAAUUUAAGUGUAGGGCAGUCCCAGUAAAUCUGUGCAGAUCCUCAUUCUGGGAGCAACUCAAUUGCAGCUAUUUCAUUUUAUCCUGUAAUGUGAGGAGAUGGCCAGAAGUUAAAGAUGGCAAAUAGUAUGUUUAAAUGUGCUGAAAAUAGCACAAGAGAUAGGAGAAGAGAGAAUGCCUGGGACAGAGAGAGCAGCCUAAGACCAUACAUUUGCUUAUGGAAUUGCACCCAUCCUUCAACCAUAUGGUACAGGAAAAUAACCUCAGUAUAUUCCUCAUAUGUACUCCACCAAGUGUGCACAUAAUAUUGUUUCAACUGUUUGGAUUCUGUACAACAUGUGGACAGAAAAAUGAUGAACACCAAAAUGAAUAUGGAAGGAAUUUGAGUGGUUGAACCAAUAAACAAGGCUGCAGCAGCAUACAAUCAAGUUUAUUAUGUACAUGAACAAUAAACCUGGCAAAGGGAGUGCUGAUGUCCAGAGAUGCACAUUUGAAAUUCUGCCUGUUUGUGUUAUUUCUGCUAAUCAGGGGAUUUAUUUUAAUCUCCUUCAUACUCCUCAAUUUCAGAAACACAAUUCAUCUGGACAAAUGCCAAGUCACUGCUUUAAAAGUAUUAGAAGAGGACACUAAUAAUGUAACUGUCUUGGGUGUGGAGUGGAGUACAUGA
rnacentral:lncRNA from 1 species